CAAAUUUCUUUCACUACUCGGCGAGCGAGUGAGACUCAAGGCUUGGGACAAAUACAGAGGAGGACUUGAUGUUAAAGGCGACAUGACGGGCAGACACUCGUACUACACCAUCUACGAGGGACACGAGAUAAUGUUUCAUGUGUC